rnacentral:tRNA from 1 species
AAACGAAAAAGAUAACUUCCAAUUAUCAACAGGACUAAACCAACCUUCGUUAA